rnacentral:rRNA from 1 species
AACGAACGCUGGCGGCAGGCCUAACACAUGCAAGUCGAGCGCCCCGCAAGGGGAGCGGCGGACGGGUGAGUAACGCGUGGGAAUAUGCCCUUUGCUACGGAAUAGUCUCGGGAAACUGGGGGUAAUACCGUAUACGCCCUUUGGGGGAAAGAUUUAUCGGCGAAGGAUUAGCCCGCGUUGGAUUAGGUAGUUGGUGGGGUAAUGGCCUACCAAGCCGACGAUCCAUAGCUGGUUUGAGAGGAUGAUCAGCCACACUGGGACUGAGACACGGCCCAGACUCCUACGGGAGGCAGCAGUGGGGAAUCUUAGACAAUGGGGGCAACCCUGAUCUAGCCAUGCCGCGUGAGUGAUGAAGGCCUUAGGGCUGUAAAGCUCUUUCAGCUGGGAAGAUAAUGACGGUACCAGCAGAAGAAGCCCCGGCUAACUCCGUG